CCCCCGACCCGGGCGGGGUCAGCCACCCGGCACGUCCCGGGCCGCUCUCCCGACGCGCAUCUUCCGACGUGGUUGGUGGCUGAGCGCUUUGGUCGGGCAAAUCCCCCCCCCGCCCGGGCUCGGCCGAGAUGCUUCGUUUCGCCGCGUCGUGGCUUUUCAAGCCGACUUCGAGGGUUGGUUUGUGGGAGAAAAACGUAGAAGGGAAACGGAGCGCUGUGACGCGUUUCUCACUGGAGGGGUCGACCCGGCUCUUCUGACCUUAGGAGAGAUUUGGCGGUGAGAAUCUGUCCCGGGACUCGGUCUGGGCAGAGGUGGGUGCUCCGCAUCGGGAUCCUCACGGUCCCACUGCAGAAACGGACGGAGCGCAGAAGCGGGAUCGGAGCGGCCCCGUCUCCAGGCACGCUCACCUCCCGCACCUGGAUCUGAAUUGGGCCGUUUUAGGGGGAACACGGAUCUCAAGCUGCGCGCCGCGGCUUGUGCGUGCUGCGCUGAGUGCAAAUCCUCCCUCGGACAGUGCCCGCAAAGCUCUCGUGCAGGCACGAGGCCGGGCCGGGCGGCUCAGGGGGAUGCUCUCCGCGCUGGGAGCACCGCUGAUGCCCUCCAGCUCCGGCUCCGCACGGCACCACGGUCCCCUCUUCCCUCUGUGUUUGUGCACGGGCUCCACGCUGUGCCCUAAGAACCCCGCAAGCAGCCGUGCUGGUGCGGACAGCUCACAAACUGAAACCAAAUGUAUGGGGCUGGGAGACAGAGUACAGAAAAGUUCACAGACAUCCUGUCACAGACUCACAGAAUGGCUUGGGUUGGAAGGGACCUUAAAACCCAUCCAGUUCCACCCCCUGCCGUGGGCUGGCUGCCCCCCACCAGCUCAGGCUGCCCAGGGUUCCAUCCCACCUGGCCUUGGGCACCUCCAGGGAUGGGGCACCCACAGCUCUGGGCAGCAGUGCCAGUGCCUCACCACCCUCUGAGCGGGCUUGAACCUGAAGAAAUACCCUGUGACAGUUUGGGAUCCUCUCUGCUGCUGGCUGAGGCUGAGAAGGGCCAUGGGGGGUGGGCUGCAAAGCCAGCUGUCCCUGGGUGUUUCUGAACCUGAGAACAGGCCGUGCUGAGCCCCAGCCCUCUCAUCGGUUCCGUCAUACUUCUUCACACCUCCUUUUAAUGCAAAUUGCUCUCCAGGAUUAUCAAAGGGUUGAUUCAGCACGGAUGGGAUGCGUACAAAAAUUUAAUUACAUUUUUAAAAAGCAAAAUUGGCAAGGAUCGUAGAGGACGAUAAGGCAGCGGCUUACUCUUCUCUCCUUCCCUCCUCCUUUUCUCCUUUUGUAACAAUAAUAAAGCCGAAGAUCCAGGUGAGAAACAAGCGGCCGCGUGAUUCAUCGGGACUGGAUCACAGCGCGGAGCGGCGGCAGCCCCGGCACUGCUCCACAGCACCACUGCGCUGCCAGGCACGGCUGGGAGGCAGGGCGGGAUAAAACCCACUUGGCAGGGCUGCUUUGGGAGCACACGGCUUUGAACGCAGCACUGUCCCCUGCGCCCCAUUGUGUGGGAUGGUCUUUGUUCAAAAGAGAGCCUGAAUAAAUUAGGUUUUGAGGGUUAUACCUGCCGUCAGAGCACGCAGCUGUGCACUAGGGCUGGGGAGGGGCUUCUUCUUCUCUUCCCCAUUUCAAACAGGUGGGGGUCACCUCAGUGUGGGCAGCCGGCAGUGCCCAGCCCUGAGGCGAAAGGUCCUGGCAGGGCAGCAGGACACCAGGGUGGGUCUGUCCCAGCACAUCUUGGGAGGGAGAGUACCGCGAGGAGGACCAGGGAGCUGUCUGCGUGCUGCUCCAUCUCCAUGCAGCCACGCUCCUGGACUCACUGUCACAGUGCUCAGCCUGAAGUGAGACGGGAAACACCCGAACCCCAAGGGAUCACAAGGAAGGGGCACACGGAGGUGGGAGCCAACCUGAACCCUGUAAGUACACAAAGCCAGCAGCUGCAGAGUGAGAUCGUGCUGCUUGCCAAGCACUGUGAUUUAUCCACUGUACCUUAUCCGUAAGUCGGCAUAAACGUAUAAAUCUAAAGUCCAGUAAGGCAGGUCUGACUUUUACCUUUAGAGAUGUGUAAGAUCAAGGGUCCGGUUCCAGUUGUGCAAGGUGGAAUAUUAAACAGGUCUGAUAACAGGGAACAAAUCUGUCUUUCUUAUUUGACAAGAGGUCAUUUUUUGGAGACCAACUCCGCAUUUACAAUCCAUGAGCUGGAAGCUGCUGAACAAUCUAUCAGGAAGGUGAGGACAAGGGAGGGUGAAAUGACAGCUGACAAAUCAGGCACUCUUGGUCGGAGCAGCCGUGGGCAUGUGAUGAUAGUUAAGAUCCCUUCCAACCCAAACCAUUCCAUGAUUCUGUGGUUCCGUGAUUCCGUGAGCUGGGGGAAGGCUGCAGGGGGGGCAGGAGGCAGAGCUCACCCCUCCCACUCGUCUCCAUGGACCCCACAGGCCUGGAACCCUCGCUGGUUGCUGCUGGAUCUGCACAGGGGCUGCGUGCAUUGCUGCUCCAUGUGAAUAGGGAUAACUGCAUGUGACUGCGAAUGAAAGCCAAGUGAAUCACUCAUCAUGGAUUACUGAUAGUAUUAAUUCUACCUCUUCGGCACUCAGGAUGCCCACCAGCCCCUCCAAAUUUAUUUUUCCUCCUUUAUUACAUAUUUUUGGAGAUGGAGUAAACCCAAGUCAUUUUACCCCUCAGGGCAGGACGGGACACGGGGUUCCAUGCAUGCCAAUGCACACGUGGCAGGAUUGAAGGAGGUAACGGGAUCCAUGAGGCUCAACCUGCCAAAGCCGGGUGCUCAAUGCUGCAGUUCAUACAUGAAUAACUUUGUGCAAACCAAGUGGUUCAGCACGGCACAUCCGAGCCAACCAGAGGUGCAGGUGCUCCGCGGGGCAGCGCUCAGCUGCUUCCUCUCAGAGCACUUCUUGCACGCUCCAACCUCUCCCUGCUGGACUUCACAGUGCUCACGUGAGCUUGGAGCUGGCAGCAUCAAUAUCCACUGAGCUCUGAACCAAAGUGAUGCAGCCGCUGCAAACCCAAAACCCAUUUGAACCGUACUGGGUUUGCAUGGCCGCUCUUCUCCAGGCAGACGGUGCCAACCCCACUUGCAGGUACAGGUAUGUCACAUCACUCGGAGGGAUGAAGGUCCUGCUGUGCUCCUGUGCCUCUUGCCCCGGCCGGCCACGAGCCCCUGGCUCCAUUCACUCGUGCAGCCCAGGGUUGCUCUGCUGCAGAUGGCUGCACCGCACGAGGGAUGAAGGCUGCUGUUUCCAUGGCAGCAGUUAGACGACUCCUCUUGUUAGCAAUUCUACUAUUAAAAUGCAAACAAAAUUA